rnacentral:lncRNA from 1 species
UGCCCUCUUGAGCUCGCUGAGGCGCUGCGAGAGCCUGGGGAGCUGCGUUGUCAGCCCGUCUGGGGGCUUCGCAAUGGUUUUCCCCUCCUCGGGGCUGAACUGGGCCGUGUCAGUGCGAAUGGGGCUGUUUAACAGUGCCGUGUAGAUGUGCUUCAUUUUGUACAGGUCUGGAGGCGGGAUCCGCAUCUCCAGACGGCUCCUCUUAAAUCUGAGUGAAGUCUGAAAAUAAGCACUUCCAGAUCGCAUCUGUGUGGAAUUUUCAAAGAAAGCAAGGCCGAACAGGUGACACCUCCUUACAGGCAGUCUCCAUCACUUUUGCCAUCAGCAUCAGGUUUGAUGUCCGUCGUAAUUUAAGAAGACACGUGAGGGAUGAAGUAGAAAUGUGGGGAGGGGAAAAAAAAAAGCAUACUUUCGAAAGGGAAAAAGAAGGAAAGGAUGGCAGUGGUGGCAAAGGGUGCCUGCAGCCAUCUGCUGCGCUGCUUCUCCUCGUCCCCUGCCCCGUGUUCUCUCAUGCCACCUCUCUGAGCCUCUCUGUGGCACUUAUCACCACGAUCUAAACAUAUUUAGUCUGUGUUUGCAGCACUGCGUGAUUUCCGUCAUUUACUUCUUCCCACUUCAAGCUCCAGAGGUAUAGGAAAUCAGAUGGCUUGGCUUGUAAAUAACCUUGUCGGAGGUGUUUACAGUCAUAUAUUAGCAGAUCUGAAUCUGGAAUGAAAGAAUUUAUGGCCAAUGCCCUCUUUUAAGUUGUAUUUCUGUUUAUCUGAUCCUCACUUAUAAAUGCCUCUAAUUAAGCUAUAAACUCUUCGUUUCUACUUAACCAUCUGGGUAGCCUGGGAAGCUUGAGACAGAAAUGUAAUUUACCCACACCACAGCCACGUCUGCAAUGCAAAUCCAGCACAACUGCUUCCCGAGGGUUACAGCCUGCUCCAAUUUCCACUACACGGACAGAAAUAAAGCUUGUCCGAACCACCAGUGUAGGUCCUCACUGGGAAUGACAGGACACUGUGUUUGUUCAGGAAUGAAAAUGCACCUGGAACCCUGAGAACAGUGGGAGAUAGCAUUCUCAGUUGGAUUUUAGGGAAGAUUUCUUCUCAGAAAGAGCAGUGAGGCGUUGGAAUGAGCUGCCCAGGGACUGGGUGGCAUCACCAUCCCAGGAGGUGUCCAAGAACCAUGGAGAUGUGGCACCAAGGGACAUGCCUUUCCCCCAAGAACAUGGCCAUUUCAUUGCCUGGAGAUGUUUCCAUUUGCACAGGAGAUGCUGAGAUGGAACAACCUUCUGUUGUCCCUGCUUGGAGAGAUGGAACAGCUUUGGAAGCAUAUGCCCGAUCCCACGUGCACUGAGACAUUUGAUUAUUAGCUGUUCAUACGACCAACUUAGAUUUGUAAGCAGUACGUGGAAAAGAUUUCAUAGAAGGCAAUGGCUAUUAUUUUGAAUAAAUACCACUGAUGCUGUUAUUAAAUUUGAUUCACUUAAAAUUUACACUUUGAGAAGCUGGAGUGUUAGAAGCUGAGGGUAAUAAUAUUUCACACCAUUUGUCCUUCUUCUCUGUCAUGGCACAUGCGUAGGCCAACCCCUAGCUCAAACAGCUUUUGUUUCACUGUGUUACUGUCCUAACAUGAUUUAAACAGAGGUCAUUAUUUAACUGCGCAGGAGAUCUUAAUCUUUCACUUAAAUGUAAAUUGCCAAG